rnacentral:rRNA from 1 species
UGGAUUCAGCGGCGGACGGGUGAGUAAUGCCUAGGAAUCUGCCUGGUAGUGGGGGAUAACGUCCGGAAACGGGCGCUAAUACCGCAUACGUCCUGAGGGAGAAAGUGGGGGAUCUUCGGACCUCACGCUAUCAGAUGAGCCUAGGUCGGAUUAGCUAGUUGGUGGGGUAAAGGCCUACCAAGGCGACGAUCCGUAACUGGUCUGAGAGGAUGAUCAGUCACACUGGAACUGAGACACGGUCCAGACUCCUACGGGAGGCAGCAGUGGGGAAUAUUGGACAAUGGGCGAAAGCCUGAUCCAGCCAUGCCGCGUGUGUGAAGAAGGUCUUCGGAUUGUAAAGCACUUUAAGUUGGGAGGAAGGGCAGUAAGUUAAUACCUUGCUGUUUUGACGUUACCAACAGAAUAAGCACCGGCUAACUUCGUGCCAGCAGCCGCGGUAAUACGAAGGGUGCAAGCGUUAAUCGGAAUUACUGGGCGUAAAGCGCGCGUAGGUGGUUCAGCAAGUUGGAUGUGAAAUCCCCGGGCUCAACCUGGGAACUGCAUCCAAAACUACUGAGCUAGAGUACGGUAGAGGGUGGUGGAAUUUCCUGUGUAGCGGUGAAAUGCGUAGAUAUAGGAAGGAACACCAGUGGCGAAGGCGACCACCUGGACUGAUACUGACACUGAGGUGCGAAAGCGUGGGGAGCAAACAGGAUUAGAUACCCUGGUAGUCCACGCCGUAAACGAUGUCGACUAGCCGUUGGGAUCCUUGAGAUCUUAGUGGCGCAGCUAACGCGAUAAGUCGACCGCCUGGGGAGUACGGCCGCAAGGUUAAAACUCAAAUGAAUUGACGGGGGCCCGCACAAGCGGUG